rnacentral:tmRNA from 1 species
GGGGUUGACAUGGAUUUGACGGCGAGAUGAAAUGGUACGUAAGCACGCGGAGACUCGUCGGCUAUCUCCAUAAUCAUAGUGGACAUAAAAUUUAAUUGGCGAAAACAAUUACGCUCUCGCUGCCUAAUCGAAGUACAGUAGAUUACUGGCUUUAUUCCGUCACUAGGUGAUGGAACGAGACAUCGCUCCAAGGAUGUUGUUCCGAAUCUGAGGGUCAAGCGGUGCAGGACAAUCGGAAAUAGCUUGUGUAGGCUCCGAUGCAUGAGUGAAAUUUAGGAGAUAAGGGUAUGGUUGGUGGUCCAGGUCUUGCCAUGCCUCGAAAACCAAAGGCUGGAAUAAGCGUGUAGAAAGCGUAUGGUUUCCUUGUGCGGACGUGGGUUCGAAUCCCACCAGCUCCACU